rnacentral:rRNA from 1 species
CCUACGGGAGGCAGCAGUGGGGAAUUUUGGACAAUGGGCGCAAGCCUGAUCCAGCAAUGCCGCGUGAGUGAAGAAGGCCUUCGGGUUGUAAAGCUCUUUUGUCAGGGAAGAAACGGUGGGGGCUAAUAUCCUCCACUAAUGACGGUACCUGAAGAAUAAGCACCGGCUAACUACGUGCCAGCAGCCGCGGUAAUACGUAGGGUGCAAGCGUUAAUCGGAAUUACUGGGCAUAAAGCGUGCGCAGGCGGUUUUGUAAGUUUGUCGUGAAAUCCCCGGGCUCAACCUGGGAAUGGCGAUGAAGACUGCAAGGCUAGAAUCUGGCAGAGGGGGGUAGAAGUUCCACGUGUAGCAGUGAAAUGCGUAGAGAUGUGGAGGAACACCGAUGGCGAAGGCAGCCCCCUGGGUCAAGAUUGACGCUCAUGCACGAAAGCGUAGGGGAGCAAACAGGAUUAGAUACCCUGGUAGUCCACGCCCUAAACGAUGUCUACUAGUUGUCGGGUUUUAAUUAACUUGGUAACGCAGCUAACGCGUGAAGUAGACCGCCGNGGAGGUACGGUCGUCGAGAAGUUAAACGUUAACUAAAGUUAGUUAAGUUAGACGGCGUUGAGACGNGCGACGGACGACGACGAGGGAGGAGG